AUGUGAGGGAGAUCUGGCUGAGACAUCUGUCACCCCAUUGAUCAUCAGGUUCAUUCAGCUGACCUAGCUGGGUAGGCAAGAAGUGAACUUCAGCAGUAACCCAU
rnacentral:sRNA from 1 species